rnacentral:misc_RNA from 1 species
GAUGAAGAACGCAGCGAAAUGCGAUAAGUAGUGUGAAUUGCAGAAUUCAGUGAAUCAUCGAAUCUUUGAACGCACAUUGCGCCCUUUGGUAUUCCUUAGGGCAUGCCUGUUCGAGCGUCAUUUAAACCUUCAAGCUAAGCCUGGUGUUGGGUGACUGUCCGCUUCACGGCGGACUCGCCUCAAAAUUAUUGGCGGCCGGUACAUUGGCUUCGAGCGCAGCAGAAACGCGAACUCGGGCCCGUCGUAUUGGCUCCCAGAAGCUAUCUUCACAAUUUUGACCUCGGAUCAGGUAGGGAUACCCGCUGAACUUAAGCAUAUCAAUAAGCGGAGGA